AUUGAACGCUGGCGGCAGGCCUAACACAUGCAAGUCGAGCGAGCGGCGGACGGGUGAGUAAUGUCUGGGAAAAUGCCUGAUGGAGGGGGAUAACUACUGGAAACGGUAGCUAAUAACGCAUACCCUCCGAUGUGCCCAGAUGGGAUUAGCUAGUAGGUGGGGUAAGGGCACACCGAGGCGACGAUCCCUAGCUGGCCUGAGAGGAUGAACAGCCACACUGGAACUGUGACACGGCCCAGACUACUACGGGAGGCAGCAGUGGGGAAUAUUUCGCAAUGGUCGCAAGCCUGAUGCAGCCAUGCCGCGUGUGUGAAGAAGGCCUUCGGAUUGUAAAGCACUUUCAGCGGGGAGGCGUUACCCGCAGAAGAAGCACCGGCUAACUCCGUGCCAGCAGCCGCGGUAAUAC
rnacentral:rRNA from 1 species